rnacentral:rRNA from 1 species
AGUGAACGCUGGCGGUAGGCCUAACACAUGCAAGUCGAACGGCAGCACAGUAAGAGCUUGCUCUUACGGGUGGCGAGUGGCGGACGAGUGAGGAAUACAUCGGAAUCUACUUUUUCGUGGGGGAUAACGUAGGGAAACUUACGCUAAUACCGCAUACGACCUACGGGUGAAAGCAGGGGAUCUUCGGACCUUGCGCGAUUGAAUGAGCCGAUGUCGGAUUAGCUAGUUGGCGGGGUAAAGGCCCACCAAGGCGACGAUCGGUAGCUGGUCUGAGAGGAUGAUCAGCCACACUGGAACUGAGACACGGUCCAGACUCCUACGGGAGGCAGCAGUGGGGAAUAUUGGACAAUGGGCGCAAGCCUGAUCCAGCCAUACCGCGUGGAGGAAGAAGGCCUUCGGGUUGUAAAGCCCUUUUGUUGGGAAAGAAAAGCAGCAGGUUAAUACCCCGCUGUUCUGACGGUACCCAAAGAAUAAGCACCGGCUAACUUCGUG